AUCAAUGAAAGCCUACAUUUUUACAAUCAUGACAUGUGGGAAUAACCCUCUCUCGUCAUCCUCUCCCUCCUCCGGCGCAUCGCCGCCGAGCCAUGGCCUCCCCCGACCCGAACCACCGCCGCGCCAUGGCAAGCCCACCGUCCUCUGUCCACACCAAUCCCCCGUCCCCUCUCUCCAACCUCCGCUCACCGUCUCUAUUUCCAUCCUGUUCACAGGCGGUUCGGCCGUCGCCAGAUCUGCGCCCAGGCCGGACGAACAACGGCCGGCCGACGCCCCCCGGCGCAGGAUCUUCGUAAAGGAAAGCGAAGUAUCAGGUAUAUGCAGUGUGAUGAGUUAGAUGAGCUGCCUUGCAGCAGAAAGCAGAGACCAUGUGCCUCAUGUUGUGAAUAGGCAAUACAGCCGACUAUUCAGUAUUACUGAGUAAAAGGAUGCAUUGACCCUUGAUUGUAUUGGAUGUUGUUGAUUUGGUGGAGGUUGUUUUUUAUCAGCCACAGAAGGGUAUAUAUAUAACCACAAAUGGGCUGACCUAAUGAUUUGGGCUGGCAAAUAGGGAUGCUUCUUUCCAAAGUGAUGAAAGAGGGAUGCCGUACCAGAUGAGUCUUCAGUUUCCAAUAUGUAGUAGCAAUUGCUACAAGAGCUGGCUGAGAUAAUGAUUUGGGUUGGCAACUAUGAAUGGUUUCCUCAAAAGAGGAUGGAGAGGACUGCCAGGAUAUGCACAUAUCAGACAAGUCCUCAGUUUUUUUGAGGAACUGCGAGCUCAAGGCACUAGGACUAUUGAAGUUACUAAAUGCAGUAGCGUCCAACAUAUUCGUUGACAUCAAACACCCUGAAGUUAUGUGCAAUGUUCCACACCUCAACAAGGUUUGUUGUCUGCUUCUGGAUUUCGAGGUGAUAUCAAAGCUUCGAGGAAUAACCCCUACAAAAGAACUGGUCUAUGAACACGGCCAUAAGAAGAAGAUGAGCUGCCCUGCAAUGGCACAUUUGAACUAGCAAGCCACACUACUCUAAGCAAUUCUUCUCAUACCGUGUGCUUUUAAUUGUUGGGUAGGGACUGGACAGGGAAGGGCCAGAGCUUUGUGCUUUAUUCUUGCUGCUGUCCUUGCCAUUCUUGCUGUUGUCCUUGCCAUUCUUUUUAUUGCGCCGGGCCUCGUUGCGAUCACGGAUUGCCUUCUUCGCAGCAGCAGCAUCCCGGCGCAACUUCUCAGGUUCGCGGUUCUCCUUCUCCUCGCGGGCAUGGGUGGCGUGAUGUCCCGCCACGACGUCUCUGUUAAAGUAGCCGUUAAAGUAGCCAGGGUUUUGCCCGGGCCGCCCGCGGGGAGGGCGACACGAGCGGAGUUGUUACAUCACAUGCACUGACAUGGACUUCAUUAUAUGACUGAACUGUCUCCUCGGCGUCCACUCUGGCCAUCUAGCGGUCGUCACGCGCGCGACACCAGAUAAAUAUUCCUGAAAAAUGACCAGAUAAAUAUUCCUGAUGGAGUACAAUUGACUACUUUUGUAGAAAAAGGUCAAACAACACAAUUUGUUACGUAUGAUAGUGUGAGGCAGCAACCGAAUUGGAAAUCUUGGAAGGAUGGUUGUUUAAUCUAUAGAGAGAUCCCACUUUGCCUUAUGGCCUGGAAAGUCUGGGCAGUUCUCAGUUAAGAGCUUUUAUGUUAUCAUGCAUACGCACCUUCCAACUAUCCAACCUGCAAGUGGCUUUGGCAGAGCAGAUGCACUAUGAAAAUUAAAGUUUUUGGCUGGCUCCUUUUCUUUGACAGGCUCAACACGAAGGAUAUGUUGGUCAGACGGCAUUGGCGGUCCCCUUUGGAUGAUAACAUAUGUGUCAUCUGUAAUGCUUAUGUCUAUGAAGAUAGAGCACAUCUUUUCUUUGAAUGUAACUUCAGUUGCAGGGUUUGGAAUUACUUGCAAAUUGAUUGGAGACAUGGCUCUAGUAUCCAGGAGUGUAUCUCCCAAGCAAGGAAAAGAUUUGGACACCCAUUCUUCUUUGAAGUGAUGCUCACGACUGCUUGGAAUAUUUGGAUUCUGAGGAAUGGAAGAACCUUCAGGGGGAUAAGGGCUACUUUUGCAGCAUGGAGAUGUAAUUUUGUACAUGAUAUCCUUCAGGGGGAUAGUUUUAGGCAUAGGCUUGUUGAUUGGGUUAAUUCCCUCACGUAAAGUAAGUUUUCUCUCUAACUUAGUUUAGGCUUGUAACCUUUGAACCCCUGUGUACAGUUUUGCUUGUUUGUUUGUUGCAAUAAAGGACCGUGGGUUUUUUACCA